rnacentral:tRNA from 1 species
UCCCUGGGGGCUCAGGGGGUAAAGCGUCUGCCUGCAAUGCAGGAGACUCAGGUUCAAUGCCUUGGUCAGGAAG